rnacentral:rRNA from 1 species
GAAGGAUCAUUACCGAGUGCGGGAACCCAGUCGGGUCCCAAUCUCCCACCCGUGUCUACCACACCUAGUGUUGCUUUGGCGGGCCCACUCCUCCGGUGUUCCGCCGGGGGGGUCGUCCCGGGGCGCGGUGUGCCCCCGGGGCCCGUGCCCGCCGGAGGCACUCACUGUGAACGCUUUUGUGAAUGCGAGGAUUGUCUGAGUGACGAAAUGCAAUCGUUCAAAACUUUCAACAAUGGAUCUCUUGGUUCCGGCAUCGAUGAAGAACGCAGCGAAAUGCGAUAAGUAAUGUGAAUUGCAGAAUUCCGUGAAUCAUCGAAUCUUUGAACGCACAUUGCGCCCUCUGGUAUUCCGGGGGGCAUGCCUGUCCGAGCGUCAUUGCGAACCCUCAAGCACGGCUUGUGUGUUGGGCCGCCGUCCCCUCGUUUGGAGGGGACGGGCCUGAAAGGCAGCGGCGGCGUCGCGUCCGGUCCUCGAGCGUAUGGUGCUCUGUCACGCGCUCAAGGAGGGGUCCGGCCGGGGCCAUAGCCUCUGAAGGUCAAUUCUUCCAAGGUUGACCUCGGAUCAGGUAGGAGUACCCGCUGAACUUAA